GGGAAUGUAUUUAAUUAUAAUUAUUGAAUUGCAAUCAAUAGGUGCUCAGACUAGCCAUUCUUA
rnacentral:tRNA from 2 species